rnacentral:rRNA from 1 species
GACGUAGGGCGCGAGCGUUGUCCGGAUUUAUUGGGCGUAAAGCGCACGUAGGUGGCCUGUUAAGUCGGGUGUGAAAUCCCUGGGCUCAACCCAGGAAGUGCACUCGAAACUGGCAGGCUUGAGUACUGAAGAGGGUCGCGGAAUUCCCGGUGUAGAGGUGAAAUUCGUAGAUAUCGGGAGGAACACCAGUGGCGAAGGCGGCGACCUGGGCAGAUACUGACACUGAGGUGCGAAAGCGUGGGGAGCAAACAGG